rnacentral:rRNA from 1 species
UAUCCAGACUCCUACGGGAGGCAGCAGUGGGGAAUAUUGCACAAUGGGGGGAACCCUGAUGCAGCGACGCCGCGUGGGUGAAGGAGCACCUCGGUGCGUAAAGCCCUAUCGGCAGGGAAGAAAAGCGAACAGGUUCGCCUGGACGGUACCUGACUAAGAAGCCCCGGCUAACUACGUGCCAGCAGCCGCGGUAAUACGUAGGGGGCAAGCGUUAUCCGGAUUCACUGGGUGUAAAGGGAGCGUAGACGGCGACGCAAGUCUGGAGUGAAAGCCCGGGGCCCAACCCCGGGACUGCCCUUGGAACUGCAUGGCUGGAGUGCGGGAGGGGCAGGCGGAAUUCCUGGUGUAGCGGUGAAAUGCGUAGAUAUUAGGAGGAACACCAGUGGCGAAGGCGGCCUGCUGGACGACAACUGACGGUGAGGCGCGAAAGCGUGGGGAGCAAACAGGAUUAGAUACCCCCGUAA